rnacentral:tRNA from 1 species
CGUUAGAUAGCCAAGCGGUCAAAGGCGACUGACUUAGAAUCAGUUUAUUUUAUAUACGAAGGUUCGAAUCCUUCUCUAACUU